GCCUCUGUAGAUCAGCGGUUGAUCACCUGAGAAAUAUUCAUAGCAGGUUUCAUUUCUUCAGGAGCUAUGGGUUCGAUCUCCACCGGAGGCA